CUAACACUUUUAAUUUAAAUGUUAUAGUUGACUACAAGGAAGAAUAUAAUACUACUCUGCCACAGUUUAUUCCAUAUGAAGAUGGUAUUUAUAAUGUGAUUCAAAGAAAGGUAACAUGGUAUGAAGCAUUAAACAUGUGUUCUCAAAGUGGAGGUCAUUUGGCAAGUGUUCAUGACCAAAAUGGCCAGCUCUUUCUGGAAGAUAUCGUAAAGCGUGACGGAUUUCCACUAUGGGUUGGGCUCUCAAGUCAUGACGGAAGUGAAUCAAGUUUUGAAUGGUCUGAUGGCAGUGCAUUUGACUACACCCCAUGGAAAGA